AUUAAAGCUCAGAGAGGUACCAAAAAGUCUGAAGUCACAGCUGGAAAGCUGGGAAGAUCAGGAAUUCAAAAUGCACUUCCCGUGUUGCUGUUGGGAAGACAAUUAGUCCUUAGCUUGGGUCCCAUUUUUCUCACUGUGAGGCUUGAUCUGAGUGUUUUGACGUUUCAGGAUUUGUGUUUUACUGAAGGUCUUUUUCCUUUCAUUUUGCAGGGGAUUCAGUGAGUUUUUUCAAACUGGAAACUCAAGUCCUUCUGUUUUGGGAGUUUUUCUGUUUUUUGUUUUUUGAGACAGUCUCGCUCUGUCGCCAGGCUGGAGUGCAGUGGCACAAUCUAGACUCACUGCAAGCUCCACCUCCCGUGUUCCAGUGAUUCUCCUGCCUCAGCCUCCCGAGUAGCUGGGACUAAAGGUGCACGCCACCACGCCCAGCCAGUUUUUGUAUUUUUAGUAGAGACGAUGUUUCACCAUGUUGGCCAGUCUGAUCUCCUUCUCUUGACCUCAUGAUCUGCCCACCUCGGCCUCCCAAAGUGCUGGUAUUACAGGCGUGAGCUACUCUGCAAGGCCUGUUCUAGGAAUUUUUAAAUGUAUUUCUUUGAUAAUUUCCUCUUCUCUGUUUCCUUUCAUCUCCAUUAGAAUUUGUUCACAUCUCUUUGGCAUAAAAAUUUUAAUCAUUUACUUAAAAUGUAAAAUCCAAGAUUUUUUUUUUUUUUUUUUUUGAGACAGAAUCUUGCUCUGUCGCCCAGGCUGGAGUGCAGUGG
rnacentral:lncRNA from 10 species